rnacentral:rRNA from 1 species
AGCGAACGCUGGCGGCAGGCCUAACACAUGCAAGUCGAACGAACUCUUCGGAGUUAGUGGCGGACGGGUGAGUAACACGUGGGAACGUGCCUUUAGGUUCGGAAUAACUCAGGGAAACUUGUGCUAAUACCGAAUGUGCCCUUCGGGGGAAAGAUUUAUCGCCUUUAGAGCGGCCCGCGUCUGAUUAGCUAGUUGGUGAGGUAAAGGCUCACCAAGGCGACGAUCAGUAGCUGGUCUGAGAGGAUGACCAGCCACAUUGGGACUGAGACACGGCCCAAACUCCUACGGGAGGCAGCAGUGGGGAAUCUUGCGCAAUGGGCGAAAGCCUGACGCCGCCAUGCCGCGUGGAUGAUGAAGGUCUUAGGAUUGUAAAAUCCUUUCACCGGUGAAGAUAAUGACUGUAGCCGGAGAAGAAGCCCCGGCUAACUUCGUGCCAGCCGCCGCAGUAAAAC